AACGAACGCUGGCGGCAUGCCUAACACAUGCAAGUCGAACGAAGCCUUCGGGCUUAGUGGCGCACGGGUGCGUAACGCGUGGGAACCUACCAUCAGGUUCGGAAUAACAGUUAGAAAUGACUGCUAAUACCGGAUAAUGUCUUCGGACCAAAGAUUUAUCGCCUUUUGAUGGGCCCGCGUAAGAUUAGGUAGUUGGUGGGGUAAAGGCCUACCAAGCCGACGAUCUUUAGCUGGUCUGAGAGGAUGAUCAGCCACACUGGGACUGAGACACGGCCCAGACUCCUACGGGAGGCAGCAGUGGGGAAUAUUGGACAAUGGGCGAAAGCCUGAUCCAGCAAUGCCGCGUGAGUGAUGAAGGCCUUAGGGUUGUAAAGCUCUUUUACUGGGAUGAUAAUGACAGUACCCAGAGAAUAAGCUCCGGCUAACUCCGUG
rnacentral:rRNA from 1 species